rnacentral:lncRNA from 10 species
GUACCAGCGCCGGAAGUUGGUCUCGACACCUGGACUAGCCGGGUUGUAUUUGGAAACGCGGAGUGAGUUUUUCCGUGCUGUGUAGUCUGUGAUUUCAGGGGCUAACAAUGGACACCCAGAAGGACGUUCAACCUCCAAAGCAGCAACCAAUGAUAUAUAUCUGUGGAGGUAAGAGUAGCACUUACCUAAAGUAAGAAUAUUUUAUUUAAGUUUUUUUGAAAUUGUUACAUUUAUUCUUUGCUUAAAUGAGUUACUGGUCUUCAGAGUUAUAAAGUAGAACACUUUAGCAACCAUAAAAAAAAUCGUUGAGGUCAGUAGACCUGGGUUCGUCCUUGGUCUUCUGUUUACUAACAGAAAAAAACAAAGCUCGUUGAGAUUUCAUUCUCUCUCCUGGAAAUAUGCAUGGCCUACAACCUUUUUCUUUCCUAUUUAAUAUAUUUAAUAAAAGCAGCAGACCCUUGAGAUUGAGUAUAUUUUAGUGUUUUGGAUUGCCUUAGGUAAAUAAUACAUUUAAGAUAAUUUGUCUGUAAUAUUUUCCUCUUAGGCAUUGAGUAAAUUUUUUUUUUUAAUUCUAGAGUGUCACACAGAAAAUGAAAUAAAAUCUAGGGAUCCAAUCAGAUGCAGAGAAUGUGGAUACAGAAUAAUGUACAAGAAAAGGACUAAAAGAUUGGUCGUUUUUGAUGCUCGAUGAAUGCUGGGAAUUCAGAGGAAUGUCUUCACUUAUACUUGGAUUUGCUCUCUUCCCAUUUCUGAUUGUUGUAUAGCUUUCGAUUUUGCUUACAGUAGUUCCCCCUUAUCUUCGGGAGAUACAUUCCAAGGCCCCCAGUGAACUCCUGAAACCUCAAACAGUACCAAACCUUUAUACACUGUUUUUUCCAUAUAUAUAUACCUAUGAUAAAGUAUAAUGUAUAAAUUAAGCAUAGCAAGAGAUUAAUAAUAAUGUAAUAGAACAAUGAUAACAUACUAUAAUAAAAGUUAUGUGAAUGUGGUUGGUCUCUCUUGCUUUCAAAAUAUCUUCUUG